UGGCCGUCCCUGCCGCCAGGCCGUCGGUCCGGGGCUGGCGGCGGGGCUGGCGGCGCGUGUUUAUCCAGAGACAGGCCAGACUAUGAUUCCCAUUUUACCGGUGAGGAAACGGAGGCUCAGAAAGUCAAGGACUUGCCCAGCACCGAUGCUGCCCGCCGCCCAGCGUCUGUCUGUAUCUCUGCCUUUGGGAGCAGCCCUCUUCCAGCUCUGUCUGUGGCGGGGCCUUUCCAGGGGCGGGCAACCUGUGUCUCCGCCACUCCAGGAUUUUCUCCCCACACUCCUGCCCAUCUUGACCCUCACAGACCGGAACCCUGUCAUACGCCUGUCUCACUGGGUCUCCCAGGGGCCCUGGUGGACAGGCAGCAGGGGGUCGGAUCAAAGCUGUAGACGCCGGCCUACAUCACAGCCACCGCAACGCCAGAUCCGA